GUCUGUUUUAGCUCUAUGUUGUACUUUAAUUUAUUAUGUUACUUGAAUUAGUUCUGUUUGAAGUGAGCUAUUGUUAGUUGUAACUCAACAAAAACUUUGGUUUCAUUUGUUUUACUCUGAUUAUGUGAGAUCAUUUUGGUCCAUUCACCAUUUUCCCUUGCAUUUUAUUUUGAUUUAUCUAUACGUUUUGUCUUUUACUUUUCUCUGUUGCCACACUCUUGCUAGAUCCAAAAUUCCAAAUCCAUAUUUUGCCUCAAAUAAAGUGUUUCGCCCUUCAAUUAUGAAAAUUUUUCACUUUUUUAUGUGAUGCAAAUAAGCACAUUGACCAUUGAAUUGUGCCUAAUACACUUAUGCAAUUUGAAUUGGAAUCCUUCAUUUUAUGUUGCAAUACCUUCAAGUUGUAUCGGAAAAUUGAUAUCCAUGAAUAAUGAAAUGAAUUCUGGUGAUGCUUUAGCUAAACAUAUAAAUUACUUGCUACAUUUUAUUUUAUCUAAUGCUACAUGGUAGCUUUCAAAAUAAGCUAAAUUGUUU
rnacentral:misc_RNA from 1 species